UACAGUUGUUGAUUACUGAUUUAUUCUAAAUAAAUUAGGGGAAAGUCCUUACUUCCACGACCUGCGAUGGUCGUAAUGUUGGUGCAAGCAUAUAAAAGAUAAAGCUUGACGCUCCUUAGGGGUGAUGACGGGGAAUAAGAUAAGGCGAAAGCUACUACUUAUUUCCCAUAAAGUGCCACAGAGACGAGUUAUGCAGAAAUGCAUAGGUGAAACGCGGUAAACUCCUCCAGGAAGAAACCUAAAUUACGGUAAGGGAAUUUGUUUUCUGGAACUGAACGGAAAACAAAGGGAUCGUACGAUCUCAGAUUAAUUAUCAACGUAUCCCUUUGGGAUAACAGAAUAAGGCUUAUUAAG
rnacentral:RNase_P_RNA from 2 species